rnacentral:rRNA from 1 species
GGCUCAGGAUGAACGCUAGCGACAGGCCUAACACAUGCAAGUCAGGGGCAGCGGGAUUGAAGCUUGCUUAAUGCCGGCGACCGGCGCACGGGUGCGUAACAGGUGUGCAAUCUGUCCAUAGUCGGGGAAUAGCCCAGCGAAAGUUGGAUUAAUGCUCCAUGUGUCACGAAGCCGCAUGACUUUGUGAUGAAACGUAAGGACUAUGGGUGAGCACGCUUCUGAUUAGAUAGUUGGUGGGGUAACGGCUCACCAAGUCGACGAUCAGUAGGGGUUCUGAGAGGAAGGUCCCCCACAUUGGAACUGAGACACGGUCCAAACUCCUACGGGAGGCAGCAGUGAGGAAUAUUGGUCAAUGGGCGAGAGCCUGAACCAGCCAAGUCGCGUGAAGGAAUGAAGGUUCUAUGGAUUGUAAACUUCUUUUGUCCGAGGGUAAAAAAGGUCACGUGUGGCUUCUUGCAAGUAUCGGACGAAUAAGCAUCGGCUAACUCCGUGCCAGCAGCUGC